GGGUUGUGAGGUUAAGCGACUAAGCGUACACGGUGGAUGCCCUGGCAGUCAGAGGCGAUGAAGGACGUGCUAAUCUGCGAUAAGCGUCGGUAAGGUGAUAUGAACCGUUAUAACCGGCGAUUUCCGAAUGGGGAAACCCAGUGUGUUUCGACACACUAUCAUUAACUGAAUCCAUAGGUUAAUGAGGCGAACCGGGGGAACUGAAACAUCUAAGUACCCCGAGGAAAAGAAAUCAACCGAGAUUCCCCCAGUAGCGGCGAGCGAACGGGGAGCAGCCCAGAGCCUGAAUCAGUGUGUGUGUUAGUGGAAGCGUCUGGAAAGGCGCGCGAUACAGGGUGACAGCCCCGUACACAAAAAUGCACAUGCUGUGAGCUCGAUGAGUAGGGCGGGACACGUGGUAUCCUGUCUGAAUAUGGGGGGACCAUCCUCCAAGGCUAAAUACUCCUGACUGACCGAUAGUGAACCAGUACCGUGAGGGAAAGGCGAAAAGAACCCCGGCGAGGGGAGUGAAAAAGAACCUGAAACCGUGUACGUACAAGCAGUGGGAGCACGCUUAGGCGUGUGACUGCGUACCUUUUGUAUAAUGGGUCAGCGACUUAUAUUCUGUAGCAAGGUUAACCGAAUAGGGGAGCCGAAGGGAAACCGAGUCUUAACUGGGCGUUAAGUUGCAGGGUAUAGACCCGAAACCCGGUGAUCUAGCCAUGGGCAGGUUGAAGGUUGGGUAACACUAACUGGAGGACCGAACCGACUAAUGUUGAAAAAUUAGCGGAUGACUUGUGGCUGGGGGUGAAAGGCCAAUCAAACCGGGAGAUAGCUGGUUCUCCCCGAAAGCUAUUUAGGUAGCGCCUCGUGAAUUCAUCUCCGGGGGUAGAGCACUGUUUCGGCAAGGGGGUCAUCCCGACUUACCAACCCGAUGCAAACUGCGAAUACCGGAGAAUGUUAUCACGGGAGACACACGGCGGGUGCUAACGUCCGUCGUGAAGAGGGAAACAACCCAGACCGCCAGCUAAGGUCCCAAAGUCAUGGUUAAGUGGGAAACGAUGUGGGAAGGCCCAGACAGCCAGGAUGUUGGCUUAGAAGCAGCCAUCAUUUAAAGAAAGCGUAAUAGCUCACUGGUCGAGUCGGCCUGCGCGGAAGAUGUAACGGGGCUAAACCAUGCACCGAAGCUGCGGCAGCGACGCUGAUGCGUUGUUGGGUAGGGGAGCGUUCUGUAAGCCUGCGAAGGUGUGCUGUGAGGCAUGCUGGAGGUAUCAGAAGUGCGAAUGCUGACAUAAGUAACGAUAAAGCGGGUGAAAAGCCCGCUCGCCGGAAGACCAAGGGUUCCUGUCCAACGUUAAUCGGGGCAGGGUGAGUCGACCCCUAAGGCGAGGCCGAAAGGCGUAGUCGAUGGGAAACAGGUUAAUAUUCCUGUACUUGGUGUUACUGCGAAGGGGGGACGGAGAAGGCUAUGUUGGCCGGGCGACGGUUGUCCCGGUUUAAGCGUGUAGGCUGGUUUUCCAGGCAAAUCCGGAAAAUCAAGGCUGAGGCGUGAUGACGAGGCACUACGGUGCUGAAGCAACAAAUGCCCUGCUUCCAGGAAAAGCCUCUAAGCAUCAGGUAACAUCAAAUCGUACCCCAAACCGACACAGGUGGUCAGGUAGAGAAUACCAAGGCGCUUGAGAGAACUCGGGUGAAGGAACUAGGCAAAAUGGUGCCGUAACUUCGGGAGAAGGCACGCUGAUAUGUAGGUGAAGUCCCUCGCGGAUGGAGCUGAAAUCAGUCGAAGAUACCAGCUGGCUGCAACUGUUUAUUAAAAACACAGCACUGUGCAAACACGAAAGUGGACGUAUACGGUGUGACGCCUGCCCGGUGCCGGAAGGUUAAUUGAUGGGGUCAGCGCAAGCGAAGCUCUUGAUCGAAGCCCCGGUAAACGGCGGCCGUAACUAUAACGGUCCUAAGGUAGCGAAAUUCCUUGUCGGGUAAGUUCCGACCUGCACGAAUGGCGUAAUGAUGGCCAGGCUGUCUCCACCCGAGACUCAGUGAAAUUGAACUCGCUGUGAAGAUGCAGUGUACCCGCGGCAAGACGGAAAGACCCCGUGAACCUUUACUAUAGCUUGACACUGAACAUUGAGCCUUGAUGUGUAGGAUAGGUGGGAGGCUUUGAAGUGUGGACGCCAGUCUGCAUGGAGCCGACCUUGAAAUACCACCCUUUAAUGUUUGAUGUUCUAACGUUGACCCGUGAUCCGGGUUGCGGACAGUGUCUGGUGGGUAGUUUGACUGGGGCGGUCUCCUCCUAAAGAGUAACGGAGGAGCACGAAGGUUGGCUAAUCCUGGUCGGACAUCAGGAGGUUAGUGCAAUGGCAUAAGCCAGCUUGACUGCGAGCGUGACGGCGCGAGCAGGUGCGAAAGCAGGUCAUAGUGAUCCGGUGGUUCUGAAUGGAAGGGCCAUCGCUCAACGGAUAAAAGGUACUCCGGGGAUAACAGGCUGAUACCGCCCAAGAGUUCAUAUCGACGGCGGUGUUUGGCACCUCGAUGUCGGCUCAUCACAUCCUGGGGCUGAAGUAGGUCCCAAGGGUAUGGCUGUUCGCCAUUUAAAGUGGUACGCGAGCUGGGUUUAGAACGUCGUGAGACAGUUCGGUCCCUAUCUGCCGUGGGCGCUGGAGAACUGAGGGGGGCUGCUCCUAGUACGAGAGGACCGGAGUGGACGCAUCACUGGUGUUCGGGUUGUCAUGCCAAUGGCACUGCCCGGUAGCUAAAUGCGGAAGAGAUAAGUGCUGAAAGCAUCUAAGCACGAAACUUGCCCCGAGAUGAGUUCUCCCUGACUCCUUGAGAGUCCUGAAGGAACGUUGAAGACGACGACGUUGAUAGGCCGGGUGUGUAAGCGCAGCGAUGCGUUGAGCUAACCGGUACUAAUGAACCGUGAGGCUUAACCUUACAACGCCGAAG
rnacentral:rRNA from 1 species